rnacentral:rRNA from 1 species
AAAAGUCAUUUUAGCACGGCUGUGGGUGGGUUUAGAACUGACUCCACCAUCCAUUUGACAUUGCAAUGUCCGGCAUCGUCGGGCAUUCCAGGCGCCCGGCAUCAAUCUCGGUCUUGAGCGCAGCGGCGAUGGUUUCCAGGUCGCUUACUCGAAUCCCAAUAGAUGACAUUGAGCCAUCAGCCGUGCUGGACGGCUGAACCCGAUGCAGCAUCAGGAACGCAUCACCGCCAGCCGCUGCGACGUUUGCAAUCCCCUGUAUGUGUUAUGGAUUGUGUUAGUGGAACGCUCUGGAAAGUGCGGCCAUAGUGGGUGAUAGCCCCGUACACGAAAACGCAUUCCAAGAACUGAGCAUACGAGAAGUAGGGCGGGACACGCGAAAUCCUGUCUGAAGAUGGGGGGACCAUCCUCCAAGGCUAAAUACUCGUGAUCGACCGAUAGUGAACCAGUACCGUGAGGGAAAGGCGAAAAGAACCCCGGGAGGGGAGUGAAAUAGAACCUGAAACCGGAUGCAUACAAACAGUGGGAGCCUGGAAACGGGUGACUGCGUACCUUUUGUAUAAUGGGUCAGCGACUUACAUUCAGUGGCAAGCUUAACCGAAUAGGGGAGGCGUAGGGAAACCGAGUCCGAAUAGGGCGAUUUCAGUCGCUGGGUGUAGACCCGAAACCGAGUGAUCUAUCCAUGGCCAGGAUGAAGGUGCGGUAACACGCACUGGAGGUCCGAACCCACUAGUGUUGCAAAACUAGGGGAUGAGCUGUGGAUAGGGGUGAAAGGCUAAACAAACUCGGAGAUAGCUGGUUCUCCCCGAAAACUAUUUAGGUAGUGCCUCAUGUAUCACUUCCGGGGGUAAAGCACUGUUAUGGCUAGGGGGUCAUUGCGAUUUACCAAACCAUGGCAAACUCUGAAUACCGGAAAGUGCAAGCAUGGGAGACAGACGGUGGGUGCUAACGUCCAUCGUCAAGAGGGAAACAACCCAGACCGCCAGCUAAGGUCCCAAAUGAUCAGUUAAGUGGUAAACGAGGUGGGAAGGCAUAGACAGCCAGGAUGUUGGCUUAGAAGCAGCCAUCAUUUAAAGAAAGCGUAAUAGCUCACUGGUCGAGUCGUCCUGCGCGGAAGAUGUAACGGGGCUCAAACUGAUAACCGAAGCUGCGGAUGGGCACAUUAAUGUGUCCGUGGUAGGGGAGCGUUCUGUAGGUCUGUGAAGGUGGUGGUGUAAACCCUGCUGGAGAUAUCAGAAGUGCGAAUGCUGACAUGAGUAGCGAUAAAGCGGGUGAAAAGCCCGCUCGCCGAAAGCCCAAGGUUUCCUACGCAACGUUCAUCGGCGUAGGGUGAGUCGGCCCCUAAGGCGAGGCUGAAAAGCGUAGUCGAUGGGAAACGGGUUAAUAUUCCCGUACUUUUAUGUAGUGCGAUGUGGGGACGGAGAAGGUUAGGUCAGCGGCCUGUUGGAAUAGGUCGUUUAAGGCGGUAGGCUGGUGCGGUAGGCAAAUCCGCUGCACCUUAAGGCCGAGAACUGAUGACGAGGGUCUACGGACCUGAAGUGACUGAUACCACGCUUCCAGGAAAAGCCACUAAGCUUCAGCUACAUAAGAACCGUACCGCAAACCGACACAGGUGGGCAGGAUGAGAAUUCUAAGGCGCUUGAGAGAACUCAGGAGAAGGAACUCGGCAAAUUGAUACCGUAACUUCGGGAGAAGGUAUGCCUCUGUAUGUGUAGUGAUUUACUCACGAAGCAAGCAGAGGUCGCAGAGAAUAGGUGGCUGCGACUGUUUAUCAAAAACACAGCUCUGUGCCAACACGAAAGUGGACGUAUACGGAGUGACGCCUGCCCGGUGCUGGAAGAUUAAAUGAUGGGGUGCAAGCUCUUGAUUGAAGUCCCAGUAAACGGCGGCCGUAACUAUAACGGUCCUAAGGUAGCGAAAUUCCUUGUCGGGUAAGUUCCGAC